GACGAACGCUGGCGGCGUGCUUAACACAUGCAAGUCGAACGCUGAAGCUCAGCUUUUGUUGGGUGGAUGAGUGGCGAACGGGUGAGUAACACGUGAGUAACCUGCCCCCUUCUUUGGGAUAACGCCCGGAAACGGGUGCUAAUACUGGAUAUUCACUGGUCUUCGCAUGGGGGUUGGUGGAAAGGGUUUUUCUGGUGGGGGAUGGGCUCGCGGCCUAUCAGCUUGUUGGUGGGGUGAUGGCCUACCAAGGCUUUGACGGGUAGCCGGCCUGAGAGGGUGACCGGUCACAUUGGGACUGAGAUAGGGCCCAGACUCCUACGGGAGGCAGCAGUGGGGAAUAUUGCACAAUGGGCGCAAGCCUGAUGCAGCGACGCCGCGUGAGGGAUGGAGGCCUUCGGGUUGUGAACCCCUUUCGCUCAUGGUCAAGCCGCAACAAUGGUUGUGGUGAGGGUAGUGGGUAAAGAAGCGCCGGCUAACUACGUG
rnacentral:rRNA from 1 species